rnacentral:rRNA from 1 species
GACGAACGCUGGCGGUGUGCUUAACACAUGCAAGUGGUGCGACGAACCAGAGCUUGCUCUGGGGCAAAGCCGCGAACGGGUGAGUAACACGUGGGUAAUCUACCCCGAUGACCGGGACAACCCGAGGAGACUCGGGCUAAUACCGGAUGUGGUACGGAGACAUAAGUCUCUUUACUAAAGGUAGCUUCGGCUUCCGCAUUGGGAGGGCCCGCGGCCCAUUAGCUAGUUGGUGGGGUCAAGGCCUACCAAGGCAACGAUGGGUAGCUGGUCUGAGAGGACGAUCAGCCACACUGGGGACUGAGACACGGCCCAGACUCCUACGGGAGGCAGCAGUGGGGAAUCUUGCGCAAUGCGCGAAAGCGUGACGCAGCAACAACCG